UGUUUGUCUUAGCAGAUAGGUUCCCAAAUAUUUUAUAUUGUUCAAAAUGAUUUUAAAUGGAGUUUCUCUUUCUAAAUCUUAGGUCUGAUUUUUGUUUGAAUAUAUAAAGAAAUAUUGAUGAUUUAUGUGAGUUUAUUUUUUACCCUGCAACUUUGCCAAAGUUGUUAAUUAUUUCCAAAACCCAUCUGGAAAAAUAAUUAAGUCUUAUGGAACCAUAAUCAAGAUAAAAUAAGAUAUGGCAAAUUCUAAAUUAAAAGAACAGAGGACUUAGAAUAUGGUAUUCUUGAGGGCAAAGGGGAGAGAAUUAUAAUCAAGAAUCCCUUAUUCAGAAAAACUCAAUAUCGUUCUUUGGGGGAAACAAGGAUAUUUGAUGAAAUAGAGGGAUUUCAAGCAUUCAUGAUGAAAAAAACUAGGGCUGAUGAGAAAAUUUGACUUCCAAAUACAAAUCUCAAGAGAAGUUAUAAAGGUGGGCUUGAAAUCAGGUCUUCCAAUCUAAGUCUACCACAACCCACAAUGCUAUCUAGAUCUCUUCAAGUAAUAAUGCCAUUUAUAAAGUUAUUGAUUCUCAAAGUGCUUUAUAUAUAACUUAUUUGUUUCUCAAAACAACUUUGUGAGGUACACAAAGAUUUUAAAUUUCCUGUUUUUCAGAGGAGGGAACAGACACAAGGACAUGUUAAAUGACUUGGACUGGGUCACACAGCAGCUAAGUUUCUAAGAGAACACAAUUCCUCAAAUGGAUUGGAGAUUAAGGGAUAACUAGGUAGAGGCUGACAUAUAAUGGAUUAUAAUCAAGUAGAGCUUUGAAUCAGCCUAAGGGUACAAAUUGGAUGCCUGAAGUCUGUACUACUUCAAACUUGGCUUAGAGAUUCUGACUCACAUGAAGAUCCACUUCCUGAGAGGGAGCCAGGAGAAUGGAAACUACUGCAAUUAUUGAGGAGAAAGAAUCAUGAUUUGCUUGGAAAAUUAUUAAGCAGUUAGAAAAAAGGGAGAAUGAAGUGAUCUCAAUCCAGCAGUAGAUUAUGAUUCAAUUAACACUGAUAAUUUUUUAAAGCAAGAUGCCCAGAGAAAAUGAAAGUUCCCUUAAAAUAUUUCAAAUUUUCUUCACCAACAAUAUAAUGGGAAUAAUAAUUGUAAUACAUGUUAUAUAUUAUUGUUCAUCAAAUGCAGAAAAAAGACUAAAUGCUUCAAAUAGCCACAUUCAUAUCUACCAUACUCAUUGACUUUCAAAAUAUAAUAUUUAUAGAUGUUGUUAUGAGUAUGUGUGGAUUUAACAUGUCUAUGUUUGAAGAAAUAAUCUCAAAAAACAUAAAGAUUGAAC